CCCAAUUGCGAGACGGCCGCCUCCAACCUCAUGCCCAGUUCUCACGGAGAGCGCGAAAGAGGGGCGACGCAUAAACCCUAGCUCCUCCUCCUCCUCCUCCUCCUCUCCUCCUCCCUCUCCGUUGAGCCUUGACGGAGAUCGAGAGAGAUCCCGAUACAGAGCCGGACUGACGUUCCAUGGGGAAGAAGAAGAAGAGAGCGUCCUCCAAAGUGUGGUGCUAUUACUGCGACAGGGAGUUCGACGACGAGAAGAUCCUGGUGCAGCACCAGAAGGCCAAGCACUUCAAGUGCCACGCCUGCCACAAGAAGCUCUCCACCGCUUCCGGCAUGGCCAUCCAUGUCCUCCAGGUCCACAAGGAGGCCAUCAUCAAAGUUCCUAAUGCUAAGCCUGGUAGAGAAUCUACUGAAAUUGAAAUAUACGGAAUGCAAGGAAUCCCGCCUGAUGUCUUGGCUGCUCAUUAUGGAGAGGAAGAUGAGGAAGCUCCUCCUAAAGUAUCCAAGGUCGAGCCUCGAUCUACCCAGCUUGCUGCUAACAUGGUUCCUGGAGCAUUGGGGGUUCGAUAUCCACCUCAGCCGACCUUAGGCACAGUGCCGCCAGUUUAUAAUGCUUCAUUAUCAAUGCCUCCUGGUGGUUGGUCAAUCCCUCCACGUGCACAACCUUGGUUUCCGCCAUAUCCAGCAGUUUCAGUUCCUCCUCCUAUGCCUGUGCCUUUACCUCCGAUGCAGCAACCGUUGUUUCCUGUGCAAACUGCAGUUCCACCAACAUCAUCUGCUACAUUUCCAUCUUCGUUGCAGAUAACUCCCCCUGGACUGCCUUCUGCCAGUACUUCUCUUCCUGUAUCUCAGCCCUUGUUUCCAGUUGGUAGUAGCAGUAUACCUAUGCAAAGUACACCAUAUGCCCAACUAGGCAUCUCUCAAAAUUCCCCUGCAGAUCUCAAGAGCUUGGUUGCCCAUGCUAGCAUUGGUCCAACAAUAGCAGAUGGGUCCGUCGUGAAUUCACAUUCGUAUGCCUCUGGUCCAAACACUGGUGGUCCUUCAAUCGGACCUCCUCCAGUGAUUUCUAAUAAAGCUCCAGCAACCCAGCCUGCCACUAAUGAAGUCUAUCUAGUUUGGGAUGAUGAGGCGAUGUCCAUGGAGGAAAGAAGAAUGUCCCUACCAAAGUAUCAGGUGCAUGACGAAACCAGCCAGGUAAGUCUUCAGUACCUUUUUAACAUUCGACGUUGCUAUGCACUUCUGACCAAGUAAGUAGGCUGAGUGCUUCCUGAUUUUGGAUAUGAUUGUACACGACAUCUAUAAGAGGUACUUCCAAAGGAAGUUUCCUUUGUUUCAUAUUUAGAGUUGACGUACUUGAGAAUAGAUGUAGAGUCAAAUAAUUCACUGCAUGAAUGCCAUUGUCAAUGUCGAGCAAUAUUUUUCUUUAAUGGCCUUCUUCCAGUCUGCAAGCAAUUCACCAACUUGUGGGCAUCAAAAUCAAGUAGGUAUUCGUUUUUCCUUGUAUCAAUCCCAAGCUUGUUGCGGUAGGAACAAUGAUACGAAGAUCUAGCAUCAAUUCUCCUGAGGAGGGUUAUUUACUCUUACAAUAACGCAUUUCUGAUUCUGCUCAUUUGUCUUAUUCCCGAUUCCUAAAUGUGGGUUUCGGCUGGGCUGAGGAUGUACCAACGGAUAUAAUUUAUUGUUAGCAUCAUUACAAUUUACUUUAUUGAUCGAUCAGCCCAUUCAGGCUUGGCUCAGAUGAAUUCAAUUGAUGCUGCCAUAGACAGAAGGAUAUCAGAAAGCAGGCUUGCUGGUCGGAUGACAUUUUAGUUCAUCCUGGCAUUCUCCGAGAGAUUCUUGGAUAAACCUGAGGGCUUUGCAUGUUACAGUAAGUUUAUUCAUUUAAAGCCGGCAGUAUCGGCAGUUUCUGUCGGGCUUCAACAUUUUCUAACCGCUGGGCAAUACAGUCAGAACUGUAUCAUAUGCAACCUGGUUGGAAGGAUAAUUCUUCCUUAGUCGAGUUUUCCCUUGACGAGUUAAGGAAAUUUCCUUCUAUUUCUUUUUUCCUGAGGGAUGUAAGAGUGCAAUUUAACCCAUUUAUUUUCAAUUAUUUUAGGUGACUGUUUCUGCAUAACUAUUUGGUGUUGUAGGCUGGGAUACAUGUAUCAUUCCUUUUUGUCGAUUCUUCCCUGUGAUAUCAAAAUUAUACAGUAUAAAAGCUACUUUGGUUUCUUGGAUAUAAAAUUCAUGUU